AGGACCGGGACGGACGGACCGCUGGUGUGCCAGUUGUUCUGCCAAGAGCAUUGCUGGUUGGCUACGUUCGGAAGGGAUAACCGCUGAAGGCAUCUAAGCGGGAAGCUCGUUCCAAGAUGAGGUAUCCCACCCUUUGUGGGUUAAGGCCCCCAGCUAGACCACUGGGUUGAUAGGCCAGAGGUGGAAGACCGGUAACGGUUGGAGCUGACUGGUACUAAUAGGCCGAGGACUUGUUACA
rnacentral:rRNA from 1 species